rnacentral:misc_RNA from 1 species
CACUAUCCCAUAACUGUAAACAUCUACUUGUCCCUCACCAGUGUCACCAAUCUUUCGUGCUCUAUCUCCCCACUUGUUUGUGAGCCAUAACUUCCUAUUGCUGCAUUUUUUCCAGUCACAAUCUCCAACACCACUAUCCCAUAACUGUAAACAUCUACUUUGGAUGUGAUGGGCAGAUUAAAAACCCACUCAGGUGCCAUAUACCCUCUAGUUCCUCUUAUCUUUGAGAAGCUUGAGUGAUUUAAAUCACCUCUGCUUAGUAGCUUGGAUAAGCCAAAAUCCGAUACCUUU